AGCGAACGCUGGCGGCAGGCCUAACACAUGCAAGUCGAACGAACCCUUCGGGGUUAGUGGCGGACGGGUGAGUAACACGUGGGAACGUGCCUUUAGGUUCGGAAUAACUCAGGGAAACUUGUGCUAAUACCGAAUGUGCCCUUCGGGGGAAAGAUUUAUCGCCUUUAGAGCGGCCCGCGUCUGAUUAGCUAGUUGGUGAGGUAAAGGCUCACCAAGGCGACGAUCAGUAGCUGGUCUGAGAGGAUGAUCAGCCACAUUGGGACUGAGACACGGCCCAAACUCCUACGGGAGGCAGCAGUGGGGAAUCUUGCGCAAUGGGCGAAAGGCUGACGCAGCCAUGCCGCGUGAAUGAUGAAGGUCUUAGGAUUGUAAAAUUCUUUCACCGGGGACGAUAAUGACGGUACCCGGAGAAGAAGCCCCGGCUAACUUCGUGCCAGCCGCCGCGGUAACAC
rnacentral:rRNA from 1 species